rnacentral:rRNA from 1 species
CAAGCGGUGGAGCAUGUGGUUCAAUUCGACGCAACGCGAAGAACCUUACCCAGGCUCGAACGGCAACUGACAUCCGGCGAAAGCCGGCUCCCGCAAGGGCAGUUGUCGAGGUGCUGCAUGGCUGUCGUCAGCUCGUGUCGUGAGAUGUUGGGUUAGGUCCCGCAACGAGCGCAACCCUUGUCCUCUGUUGCCAUCACGUUAUGGUGGGCACUCUGAGGAGACUGCCGGUGAUAAACCGGAGGAAGGUGGGGAUGACGUCAAGUCAGCAUGGCCUUUAUGUCUGGGGCUACACACGUGCUACAAUGGCAGAUACAAACCGUCGCGAUGCCGCAAGGUGGAGCUAAUCGGAGAAAGUCUGUCUCAGUUCGGAUUGCAGGCUGCAACUCGCCUGCAUGAAGUUGGAAUCGCUAGUAAUCGCGGGUCAGCACGCCGCGGUGAAUACGUUCCCGGGCCUUGUACACACC